rnacentral:rRNA from 1 species
GACGGAGGAUGCAAGUGUUAUCCGGAAUCACUGGGCGUAAAGCGUCUGUAGGUGGUCAAAUAAGUCAACUGUUAAAUCUUGAGGCUUAACCUCGAAAUCGCAGUCGAAACUAUUAGACUAGAGUAUAGUAGGGGUAAAGGGAAUUUCCAGUGGAGCGGUGAAAUGCGUAGAGAUUGGAAAGAACACCGAUGGCGAAGGCACUUUACUGGGCUAUUACUAACACUCAGAGACGAAAGCUAGGGUAGCAAAUGGG